CGGCGACGAGGACGAACGAGGCUUUGCUGAGUGUCAAAUCGUGCUGCUCCAUCUCCUCUUCGAGGCGCGCUGACACUCACUUGUACUAACAUGUCAGGUAGCAUCACUGAUGAAAUACUUGGAAACCUCUCCCUCAGGGGCUGAUCUGUACUUGGCCUCAGUGAGAACAAUUUUGGGCUGUGAAAAACAGGGAGGCGGCGGGAGAUCAUUUGGUAUGGGGAGAGUGUGUGUGAGAAGGAAACAAAUGGGGAUUAAUGACUGUGAGGAAGACUGAAAUCUGGGCGAGAAAGUGAAAUUCAGAGUGGGUAGUGGGGUGUGCGGGUAACCUCAAAAAACAAAGGGGCUGUUGAUGGUAAAUUUGUUGAAGGUCUGAAGACGCAUGCCUUUGCGAUCUCUGAAUAAGACUGUCUGCACUCAGGCAAGAUCGAUCUAAAUGUGAGCGCCGAGGCCAUGAAGACCAGCGUGCUGUACGGCAAUGAGGUGGCUUCUGUCCCUGAAGUGGGCCGCAUUGACACCGUGGUCCGCAGCCUGCUGGUGGAGGCCAAAAGAACGCCCCAGUCAAUCAGUCACGAUGCGCUCCUCUGUCCUGCAGAGGGACCCGUGGAAAAG